UGCCGGGAAGCCUGCAGAGCGGCUCCAGGACGCACAACGCCAGGGCAGCGUCUGCAGUCGUGCCGAAGCUCUUUCCCCACUUCUGACACGUCUUCUUUGUGUGCAAACCACGGGUUCCCCCAAUCCCGGGAGGAAACCUCCACGAUCCGCAGCGUCUGAAUUAACACGGCUUGUGGGAACCCAAUGAGCUCAUCCCACAGGAGGAUCUAAUGGUGCUGCGUGCUGAUACCUGAAAUGACCAUCUUAGAGCUGCUUCAAGUACCUAAUUACUGCGCUGUAAUCAGCAGGCCACGUAAAGAGCCCCGGCUGAUCAGCCUAACUAGAGUUUGCUAAACACCAGCUGUAUUGUCCUUCCUGAAGCCAGGGGACACAGAACUGGCCUAACAAGCCUGAGGACAUGAUUAAAGGGACCAAAGACUGGAGCAGACAUCCAUCGGGGUCUCGACGGAGCCUGUGACCCGCACCCGGGUGUCUUGGGCACAUUCCUACACCUCCCAGGUGGCACCCCCCGCCUUCUGGGGGCCUGGAGGGUCAGCUGGGCAGGGCUCUUGUACCCCCUCCCCGCCGGCCCCGCGCCCUGGCCCACGAUGGCCCAGUGGAGGUGAGGCCCGCCGGGGUGGGUGCUCAAGCACUCAGGACACACCCGGGGUGGCUGUCACAGGAAAUGGCCUUUCCUCCCUUGCUGUUUCUUUUUGAGUGUGAGGCAAACUACAAAAUUUCCCCGCAGAUGGUAAAGGACCCGAAGUCGGACACCCUAACUUUGGUUUGGGGAUUUUGCUCUUCGGAUGGGCGCUUCAUUCUGCAACUCCAAAUGCAGAAACUGAGCCACCAGCGCGGGAACCAGACUCCUGAGCGGUGGCUCGCGGGCCCUCCCUGGCCGGGGCCUCGGGGGACUGUGUCCUGAACAGGCGCAGACCGGUCUGGGGUUGCCUGGGCGACCUGGGCAUUUCUCCCACGCUUCUGUUCCGGUGGAGGGGCGGCUCUCAACUCCAGAGAGAGGUAGAAAAGGAUCAAGCUCCCCAGCUUGUCUGGAGCCUUGAUUCUGUUUGUAAGGAUAAAUAAAACUGAUUUUGCCCCAGAA